AUGUAUUUUGUUAGUAAAUAAAUAUUACAUAUUGUUAUAUUUAAUAUUUUUAUGCUAUAUUAUUUUUGUCACAAGUCGGUCAGGCUCAUCACCCACAGCACACUCCCUCACUCGAGCAUUAAUCACCAGCACCUGUUCACAAUCCAAUCAUUUAAUCACCUGCACCUGAUCGCAUUCACUUACCACCACAUACUGUAAAAGCACACAGCUCAGUCACCUCCAUUGUCUGAUCUCGUAGCUUCAAUGCGGAACCAAACCUGUUACAAGCUGCUUGCAUUGACUCUCAGGUAACUUUGCUAUUCACCUCUUUGCCCGAUUCUCCUAGAGUCCUGUGUUUCUCCAGUGUUCCUCCAUCGUUCCUCCUGAUCUUCCACUUCCAAGAUCUCUUCUCCUGUGUUACCCCUGAGAAGAGCGGACCAAAACGAAGAAUGACCUGGGCUGAUGAUUAUCUCUAUGGUAUCUGGCGGGAAGACCUCUGGGGGUGUACGCGGAGGAGUUCUUGAGCUUGAUACCUCUGGUUCUUUGUUGAUGUGGUGGAUCCUUAUCCUCCCAGAAGCAUGAGGGUGCUCCAGCUCCCUCCACAUACCACUCCAAAGAGCCCACUCCCUCCUUUACUUCAGCCCUUCCCUCGAGAUCUCCAGAUCUCCUCCCUGGCCCGAAGCCCUGUAUUCCCUGUCUCCUCUGGUUCUGCCCAGCAUAGAAUCCCCUGUGUCUCCCCUGGUCCUGUGCAUCCCUUCCUCAUCUCCUGAGCACUGAGCCAAAGAGGGGCUCCUGAGCCCCAGAGCUUCCUCCAGUGUCUGCUCUAGACCCUGAGUCCUGCCCCGUAAGUUUUCCCAAGUAUUUUUUUUUUGUUGGGUGGGGCAGUAGAGAUCCAGCCAGGAAGGCAGAGGUGUGGUUUGGAGCCACUGACUCGGAGGCAGAUCUGCCACGGCCUCCCGAGUCUCCAGAUCAGCCUUGGAAAUCCUCCUUUACUACACCCUGUUCCUGUCCUGCACGUACCUCCAGUUCAGAUGACCGGUUUCUAAUAUAGCUGGCUAUUUUGCAUAACUGUUUAUGCAACAUACUGUUUUAGAUUUUUAUGCAUUAUAAUAUUUGUUGCAUUUUACUUGGUCAUAACAUAUGCUUCAUCCCUAUCCCUAUUAGAAAAAUAUAAUUAGUCACAACAAUUAGUGAUUAUUACUUAGUCACAAGUGUGUGUGUGUGUGUGUGUGUGUAAUCAUCAUAUAGUUUAUUAUCGGAUCAUUUAAAGUAUUUUCUCUAAUUUUAACAACAGUAUCUAUGUUUAUUAGUAAUUAAAAAUGGACCAAGUGUAAUGCUUCAUUCCCUGAACGUCUCACUUCAGUGCAGGUGCAACUACAUUCUUAAUUAGGAAAAAUUAGAGUCUUUUCAUAUUCCUCCUUGACACCAGCAACCAAGAAACAACAGCAAAGCUGCCAAACUCAGUUUUAGUUAAGUCAUAUUCUGUCCAUACCUGAGUCUCAAUAUACACUCACUCAUACAGAAAAUUAUAUCUACUUACCAAUA